rnacentral:lncRNA from 1 species
CCGAUAGUCAAUGGCAUUAACCUCCAAAACAACAAUGCAAACAGUCAAUACUUAUUACCCAAAUAUUCAAUCAGCAAACUUGAAAUAAACAAGUACAACAACAUAACGCAUUGGUCCAAAUAUACCUAAAUAAUUUGAGUUAACUUAAACCGAUAGUCCAAUGGCAUUAGUCUUUCGGCAAAACAAACAAAUGCAAACAGUCACUACUUAUUACACAAACAUUCAAAUCAGUCAUAACUUGAAAUAAACAAAGUACAAUAUAAGCAAUUGUCAAAUAUACCUAACUAACUUGGGUGAACUUAACACGAUAGUCAUGGCAUUUGUUCGCAAAACAAAACAAAUGCCAAAAUAUCACACAUAUUACCAAGAAUUCAAAUCAGCAUAACGUAAAUAGACAAGUAGAACAUAAAGCGUUGUCUAACUAACCUAAUUAACUUUAGUUUGAAAGUGAACCCGAAAAAUUUCGACCUCACGUUAAUUAUUAUCCAAUAAAUAUAUAGAUCAAAUUAUUGUUAAUAACAUCAAUAUUUAAAGGCGUGGAAUAUGUAUUUGAUAUUACUAGGUAAUAGCAUCAGUUCUCGCACAACAAAAUAAUGCAAAACAGUCACUACCUCCUCAUAUUCCUUACAAAUUCAAAUCAGGCAUAACUUCAAAUAAACAAAGUAACAACAUAAAGCAUCGUCAAUAAUACCUAAUAGUUGAGGUUGAAGUUAAAAAAACCCGUAGUCAAUGCAUUAAUCCUCGCAAAACAAACGAAUGUAAAACAGUCACUACUUUUACACAUAUUCAAUCAGCAUAACUUGAAAUAAACAAGUAAAACAAUAAGCAUUGUCCAAUAAUACCUAAAGAUAUGUGGUUAAGUUAACCCCGAUAGUCAUGUCAUUAAUUCCUCGCAAAACAAACAAAUGCAAAACAGUCACUACUUAUUACACAAAUAUGCAAAUCAGUAUAACUUGAAAUAACAAAGUACACACAUAAAUCAUUGUCAAAUAAUAACCUAAAUCAUUUAAGGUUGAACUUAAACACGAUAUUCAAUGGCAUUAGUACUCGCAACAAAACAAAUGCAAAACAGUCACUACUUAUUACCAAAUAUUCAAAUUAGCAUAAUUUGAAAUAGACAGUACACAUAAGCGUUGUCUAACUAACCUAAUUAACUUUGGUUUGAACGGGUUCAAAUUUCAACCGAAGUUAAUUAUAGUCCAAGAUAAAUAUAAUAGUGUCAAGUGAUUGUUAAGUACACAUCAAUAUUUAAAGGCGUGAGAUAUAUAUUGAGAGUAAAUGGUAUAGCAUCAGUUCUCGCAGAACAAAUAAAUGCAAAACGUCACUCUCGUAUCAAAAAUUCAAUCAUCAUAACUUGAAAUAAACAAAAUGCUAACAUAACGUAUCGUCAAUAUACCUAAAUAGUUUUGAGGUUGACGUUAAACCCGAUAGUCAGAUGCAUUAAUCUCGAAAACAAAACAAAUGUAAAAACAUCAAUACUAUUACCAUUACACAAAUAUUCAAAGCAUUCAUAACUUUAAAUAAACAAGUACAACAUAAAUCAUUGUCCAAAUAUACCUAAAUAAUUUGAGGUUGAACUUAACCACGAUAGUCAAUGGCAGUAGUACUCGCAAAACAAAACAAAUGCAAAACGUCACUCUAUUACAUACCAACAACACACAACAAAUAUCAAAUCCAGCAAAUUUGAACUAGACAAGUCACCAUAAAGCGUUGUCUAACAUAACCUAAUUAAACUUUUGAGUUUGAACGGUUCAUUUCAAACAGUUAAUUAUUGCCCAAGAUAAAUAUACAAGUUUCAAGUUUGUGUAUAUACCUCAAUAUUUAAGCGUGAGAUAUGUAUUUGAGAGUACUUGUAAGAGCAUUAGUUCUCGCACAACAAAACAAAUGCAAAUAGUCACUAAUCAUUCCUUAAAAAUUCAAAUCAGCUAACUUUAAAAUACAAGUACAAACAUAAAGAUCGUCAAAUAAUACCUAAAUAUUUUGAGUUGAAGUUUAAACCGAUAGUCAAUGGCAUUAAUCCCAUCCUCGCAAAACAAAACGAAGUAAAACAGAGUACACUACGUACUACUUAUAACACCCAAAUUUCAAAUCACAGCAUAACUUGAAAUCAACAAAGUACAACAUAAACAUUUCAAUCAUCCCUAAAUAAUUUGAGGUUUGAAAUCACCCUGGACAUUUCAACUCAAGUUAAAUUAUUGUCCAGAUAAAUAUAACGUUUCACAUGUUAUUAAAUACCACCUCAAUAUUUAAAGGCGUGGAGAUAUGUAUUUUAGAACUUGGUAAUCAUAUCAGGUUCUCGCCAACAAAAAUAACUCCAAACAGUCACUACUUAUUGGAGGGCGACAAAUAUGCAAAUCAGUAUAACUUAAAUAACCAAAGUUACAACCUAAAGCAUUGUCAAUAAUACCUACCUAAGAUUUGGGUUGAAUUUAAACACGAUAUCAUGGCAUUAUACCUGCGUUUCGCAAACAAAACGAAUGUAAAACAUCACGUACUUAUUACACAAUAUUCAAUCAGCAUAACUUGAAAUUAAACAAAGUAAAACAUAAAGGUCAUUGUCCAAAUAAUACCUAAAUACUUGUUGUGGAAGGUAAACGCCGAUAGUCAUGUCAUUAAGUCUCGCAAAACAAAAAGAACAACAAAUGCAAAACUCACUACUCUUACACAAUAUGCAAAUCAGAUAACUUGAAUAAACAAAGUACAACAUAAGCUUGUCAAAUAAUACCUAAAUAAUUGAGGUGAAUUUAACACGAUAGUCAAUGCUUCGUACUCGCAAAACAACAAUGCAAACAGUCACGUGUCAUACUUUAAUUCAAACCAACAAAUAUUCAAAUUAGCAUCUUGAAAUAGACAAAGUACAAAACAUAAGGUUGUCUAACAUAACCUAAUUAACUUGAGUUUGCACGGGUUUCAAUUCAACUGAAGUUAAUUAUAGUCCAAGAUAAAUAUAUAAAGUUUCAAUGAUUGUUAGUACAUCUAUAUUUAAAAGCGUGGGAUAUAUAUUUGAGAGUAAAGUUAACUAGCAUCAGUUCUCGCAGAACGAAAUAAAUGCAAACUGUCACUACUCGGUACUGCAAAUAUUCCAAAUCAGCAUAACUAAAUAAACAAAUUAACAUAAGUAUCGUCAAAUAAUACCUAAAAGUUUGAGGUUGUAAGUUAACCCAUAGUCAAUGGCAUUAAUCCUCGCCAAAACAAAUAAUGUAAACAGGCAAUACUUAUUACACCAAAUUCACAUCAGCAUAACUGAAAUAAAAAAAGUACAACAUAAAGAUUGUUCACUAAUACCUAAAUACUUUGAGGUUGAACUUAACAACAACGAUAGUCAAUGGCAUUAGUACUCCGCAAAACAAAACAAAUGCAAAACAGUCCACUACUUAUUAACACAAUAUUAAAUCAGCAUAAACUUUGAAUAGACAAAGUAACAACAUAAGCUUGUCUACAUACACCUAAUUAACUUGAGGUUUGAACGGGUGUCAAGUCAACUCAGUCAAUUAAUUUGCCCAAGAUAAAUAGGGUGACAGUUGUCGGAAAUGUUUGUUAAAUACCUCGCCGGGGACUCACUAUUUAAAGGCGUGGAGAUAUGUAUUUGAGAGUACUUGGUAUACAAAUUAGUUCUCGCACAACAAAAUAAAUGCAAAUAAGUCACUUCUCAUUCCUUAAAAAUUCAAAUCAGCAUAACUUGAAAAUAACAAGUACAACAUAAAGCAGCCUUCCAAAUAAUACCUAAAUAGUUUUGAGGUGGAAGUAACCGAUAGUCAAUGGCUUAAUCCUUGCAAAACAAAACAAAUCAAAUAGUCACUAACUACAUAGUACACAAUAUUUCAAUGCAGCAUAACUUGAAAUCAUACAAAGUAGAACUAAAGCGUUGUCUAACAUAACGCUAAUUAACUUGGAGUUUGAAUUGAACCCGAAAAAUUUCGAACUCAAGUUAAUUAUUGUCCAAGAUAAAUAGAUAGUUUCCAAUGUUUUAAUUACAAUCAAUUUUAAAGGCUGGAGAUAUGGUAUUGUGAGAGUACUAGGUAAUAGCAUCAUUUCGCACAACAAAAUAAAUGCAAACAGUCACUACUCAUUCUUAAAAAUUCAAUCAGCAAUAAAUCAAAUAACAAAGUACAACCCCCUAAGCAUCGUCAAAUAAUACCUAAUAGUUUGAGUUGAAGUUAAAAACCGAUAUUCAAUGGCAUUAAUCCUGCGCAAGACAAAACAAUGUAAAACGUCACUACUUAUUACACAAUAUCAAAUCAGGCAUAACGAAAUAACAAGUAAACAUAAAGCAGUGGUCCAAAGACGAAAGACCUAAAUAUAAUGUGGGUUGAAGUUAAACCCGAUAGUCAAUGUCAUUAAUCCUCGCAAAACAAAACAAAUGCAAAACAGUCACUACUUAUUACACAAAUAUGCAAAUCAGUAUAACUUGAAAUAAACAAAGUACAACAUAAAGCAUUGUCAAAUAAUACCUAAAUAAUUUGAGGUUGAAUUUAAACACGAUAGUCAAUGGCAUUAGUACUCGCAAAACAAAACAAAUGCAAAACAGUCACUACUUAUUACACAAAUAUUCAAAUCAGCAUAACUUGAAAUAGACAAAGUACAACAUAAAGCGUUGUCUAACAUAACCUAAUUAACUUGAGUUUGAAAUUGAACCCGGAAAAUUUCAAACUCAAGUUAAUUAUUGUCCAAGAUAAAUAUACAGUUUCAAAUGUUUGUUAAAUACCUCAAUAUUUAAAGGCGUGGAGAUAUGUAUUUGAGAGUACUUGGUAAUAGCAUCAGUUCUCGCACAACAAAAUAAAUGCAAAACAGUCACUACUCAUUACUCAAAAAUUCAAAUCAGCAUAACUUGAAAUAAACAAAGUACAACAUAAAGCAUCGUCAAAUAAUACCUAAAUAGUUUGAGGUUGAAGUUAAACCCGAUAGUCAAUGGCAUUAAUCCUCGCAAAACAAAACAAAUGCAAAACAGUCACUACUUAUUACACAAAUAUUCAAAUCAGCAUAACUUGAAAUAAACAAAG